rnacentral:tRNA from 1 species
AGGGAACUAGUCUAAAACAAGACCUUUGAUUUCGGCUCAGAGAAUCGUGGUUAGAGUCCACGGCCCCCUU